UGAUUUUUGCGGAAUGCCGGUGUAUGUACUACUUAAUAGGGAAUCUGGUGAAAUUCCAGAGCUGCCCCCGCAACUGUAAGUGUGGACGAAAUGAAAAAUCCACUGUGUAAGCGACUAGAAUGAGCUAGUUUUUGCAUGGGAAGGAUCAGAGUAGAGCGAAGCACGAGUCAGGAGACCUGCCGUAUUCCAAAGUCAGCU
rnacentral:ncRNA from 2 species